ACAAUAAGUACAGCUGGAUGCGCAAGAAGGAGGAGCGGAUGUACCCCAUGAAGUCCUCCGUGGAGGACAUGGACGUCCUGGAACUGGACUUCAGAAUGUGGCGGGCCGAGGUCCAGCACCAGUACAAGGAGAAGCAGCAUGAGCUGGUGAAGCUGCAGCGGCGCCGGGACUCCGAGGACAGGCACGAGGAGUCCCAUGGAAGCUUGGCACGCAGGCCGUGGAAACAGACCCACGCCCCCGAGAGCCCUGUCGCCCGCCCGCAAGAGGGGGAAGAACUGCAACAGUAGCGGAAAGCUGAGCAGCAAAUCUCUGCCGACAUCAGAUGACUAUGAGCUGGGAGCAGGAAUAAGGAAGAGACACAAAGGGCCCAAGGAGGAACACAAUGCCCUUAUUGGAACAGGGAAAGCCAGGGAGAGGAACCAGACUUGGGAUGAACACGAGGCUUCGUCUAAGUUCAUAAGUCAGCUGAAGAUUAAGAAGAAGAAGAUGGACAGCGACCAGGAGCAGUUGGCAAGCAAGCUCGACAAAGGCCCUCUCCCUCACCAAGCAGGACAAGUUGAAGUCACCCUUCAAGUUUUCAGACAGUGCUGGGGGGAAAUCAAAAACUGGCAGGGGCUGCAGCAAGUACUUAACUCCUUAUGACAGCCUGCUGGGCAAGGACAGGAAGGUGCUGGCCAAGGGCCUCCGGCCUGUCUCUGAAAUCUUCCAGAGAAGGUAAACACAAAAGGGCCGCCAAAGCCAGGAAGAUAGGGGUGGGGUUCAAGGCCAGAGGCCAGCCCAAGUCGGCCCAUUCCGCGUUUGCCUCCGAAGUGAGCAGCUACUCUUACAAUACAGACUCAGAGGAAGACGAAGAAUUCCUGAAGGAGAGUGGCCCGCCCAAGGCCCCUCCGGCUAGCUCCAAACUGAUGCCUUCCCUCCUGUGUGGCAUGGUGGCAAAGGACAGCAAGGCAGCUGGCGGCCCCUAGCUGACCAAGAGGGCCUGGCACACACCCCCUCCUCCGCCCCCUCCCGGACUCUGAAACCUAAGCCAGCCACCAGCAGGAAGCAGUGGUUUUGUUUGCUGCUUCGAGAGGCUAAGGUGCAUUCCUCCUUCAGCGACUCUUCGGAAGAUUCAUUUGACUAAGGUUACUAUCUCCAAACACAAAAUACUUUCUGUGUUUCCUAGCGAGAGAGUGCCUGCGAGUGAGCGAGAAGGAAGCGAGUGGGCGCACGGGAGAGAUGGGGGGUGAGGAGGCCCGUGCGGAUGGCCGCAGGAAGGCCGCCAUCUGGGUUCUUGGCAGUGUAGCCUGCUGUAUCGGCCAAAUUAUUUUUAUUUUUGCUUUGAUUUGUACUGUAUCGUUGUGAUAAUAUCGCCGGCUAGCUCUUUUUGAGCUGUUAUAUGGACUGCUUCUGAGUCUGCAUUUUUCUCCACUUUCCUUCCUCUCCGCCCUCCUCCCCCUACCCCGAGUUCCUCCCCACCCCCAUACUCACCUUUUCUGCCCACCCAGAGACCCCAGGCUGUGGUCAGGCUCUCUUUGGGCACGGGCCCAGUGGGGGCUUCCCGAGAAACAUUUUAUAAAUGGAAUUCUGUCAUGUGGGCGUGUGACUUGAUGUUUGUACUGCGAUUUUGAUAAUACCAAACUUUAUUAAACAUACUGAGUUCAUUUUUAACAACAACAAUAAAACAAAAAGUGGAGGUGAUAAAAAUGGUUGCAAAUUCCUGGGGAGUAGGUAUUGAUAAAGAGGUCAAAGGCUCACAAAGGCACUCUUUUUAAAGCCUCUGUUUUAAUACACUCAUGUAACUGUUUACUCAGAUCAAAAGAUAGAACGUGCUAGCAACCUGGAAGUGCCCCUUGUGCCCCUUUCAUAUCACUGUCCAUCCAACCAUGGUUAAUAAAUCUCCAGACUUCU